GCAAGUCGAGCGAUGAAGCUUUCUCGGAAAGUGAUUAGCGGCGGACGGUGAGUAACACGUGGGUAACCUGCCUCAUAGAGGGGAAUAGCCUUUACGAAAGGACUGCUAAUACCGAAUGUUGUAUCUCCUCCGCAUGGAAGACGAUAUUAAAGAUGGCCUCUACUUGUAAGCUAUCGCUUUGCGAUGGGUCUGCGUCUGAUUAGCUAGUUGGUGGGGCAACGGCCUACCAAGCCGACGAUCAGUAGCCGGUCUGAGAGGAUGAACGGCCACACUGGAACUGAGACACGGUCCAGACUCCUACGGGAGGCAGCAGUGGGGAAUCUUCCGCAAUGGGCGAAAGCCUGACGGAGCAACGCCGCGUGAGUGAUGACGGCCUUCGGGUUGUAAAGCUCUGUGAUCGGGGACGAACGGUCAGCAGACGAAUACUCUGCUGAAGUGACGGUACCCGAAUAGCAAGCCACGGCUAACUACGUG
rnacentral:rRNA from 1 species